UUACAAAAAAAAUUUUUUUUGGUGCGCUGUGUCUUCCCUGACAGUAACGUGUUGAAGCCAGGAGACCGCGCUGUCUUUGCCCGGGCCAUGAACACGGUGAUUUGCUCCGUUUUUGUUUGACUACAUUUUAUGAGUAACAGUUAGGGGGGUGCUAGUGACUUUUCAUGCGCAAAGACCGGCAUCUGAACUCUGCGGCAACCGCGAUCGACAUAUUGAGCACCCCUGCAUUAAAACAUUGGUGCAAGUGACUUUUUUUCGUCCCGAUGUGCGCACACACGCCGGCAUCCGAGCUCUGCGGCACGCGAGACGGGGAUCGGAGUCAUGUUAACGUGACACGUAGAGACAGAAUGACAUGCUGCUGGAGAGACGACCAACAACAGACGGAUUGGAAGCUCAUUCUGCGCAUGCGUUAAAUGCGUUUAAAAAAAACGAAGUUAAACCUGUAAUUUAAUUAACUGAGUUAACGCGUUAUUUUUCACAGCACUAAGCAAAAUACAAUUAUUUUUCCAUUUUUACGCAUGUUGUCAGGUCACAUUUGAUGACUAUGAUGGAGCCAUUGGAUUUGUCAACAUAAGUAAUGUGCACUGGAAGCUUGUGUAUCUCCAUGCCCUUUUAAACCGCAUAUUUGUGGUUGAUCCUCUGCAAGGGUUAAAUGAAGUUGACGACUCCAGAAAGGCUGGCCAAAGAUACAGUAUUUCAAAAUGCGCCGGAACAGACUUGGAAAGGAGGACUGGGUUCACAUCAAGUGGCAGCCGGGCCAGAUGAGCCACAGCUGCCAGAAAGAUGGCAGCAGUUGUGGGAUCUUUGUCAUGCAGAUGGCCGAGAUGACGGUGAUGGAACUUCCAAAGAUUCCUCAGCAUUUUCACAUCAACUCAUCUAAACAAUCUAUUGAAAAGCUAAGAAGAGACGAGGCUGAAGACAUUCUAAAACAAUCAGGUUUAAAAAAAAUAGUUUCAAAGGAUGAGCUCUGUUCCUUCUGUGGAAUUGAGGACCUGCCCAAAACUGAUGUUGAUGCUGUUUGGAUUCAGUGUGGAACUUGCUCAAGAUGGUUUCACACGCAGUGCCUUGGGAUGACAGCAGCACAAAUACCAAACAACAUUGGUAUUGUGUGUUGUGUAACUGAACACUUAGGAAUAUGUAUGUCUGACUUUGUCGGAUAAACUUGUUGACUUCAAGUUUAUCCAGUUAAAUGUUGUUCAAGCCGAACCAGUCAUAUAUACAUUGGUAUCUGAUCGUUCAUAAAGAUUAAAUGGGGGAACUACUUGACUUCUA